UACAGCCUGUCCACAGAAUGUCGCUGCUGGAAGCAUUCACCUUCAUGUCCUUCUGGCCUCUUGUACUUGGGUUAUCAAAAGUGGAGCAGUCCCGGAUAUCCAUUUCCACAGAAGUAAAGAAAAGUGUUGACAUACAUUGCAAGAUAUCGAGCACAAGUUUUGAAAAGGAUGUCAUUUUCUGGUACUGGCAGAAACCUAAUCAGGCUUUGGAGUAUCUGAUUCACGUGAGCUCAACACAAACUCCAGCUCUAAGUCGCAAAGGUGGGAAGAACAAUAAAGUUGAGGCAAGAAAGAAUUCUCAAAUUCUCACUUCAAUCCUUACCAUAAAUUUCAUAGAAAAAGAAGAUGCGGCCAUUUACUACUGUGCUGGGUGGUCCCACAGUGCUAGAACUGUUAAGGCAAUACACACAAGAUCCCCUCUUUGGAUUUGUGCCCACCCACAUCCUUCUCAAGAGUGGCAACCACAACCAGCCUCCUGGCUGGGCUCCUGGCCUCAGCCUCAGCUUGUCGGCAGCAUUUCCUGA